GCCGGGGUAGCCAAGCGGUUGGAACACGGAUUUUCCGCUAGUUUUUAUUGGUUUUUUCUGGUUCUCGUAGACGGCGCCAGCUUGGAGAGCUGGUGACGCUUUGCGUCGCGUGGGUUCAAAUCCCACCCCCGGCG
rnacentral:tRNA from 1 species